UUUUUCCUUCGAGCAAUAUCUACUCCAUAAAGAUCCAUCAGUCGAACAGUAUAUUUCAAAUUACUGCGUAUUACUCCAAAUUGCUUCUCUAG
rnacentral:misc_RNA from 1 species